UGGGCAACCUGCCCCUCUCUCUGGGAUAACCCCGGGAAACCGGAGCUAAUACCGGAUACUCCGGCUGGAUCGCAUGGUCCGGCCGGGAAAGGUCCGCCGGAGAGGGAUGGGCCCGCGGCCUAUCAGCUUGUUGGUGGGGUCAUGGCUCACCAAGGCGACGACGGGUAGCUGGUCUGAGAGGACGACCAGCCACACUGGAACUGAGAUACGGUCCAGACUCCUACGGGGAGGCA
rnacentral:rRNA from 1 species